UCCGAGCUGUUCUUUAGCUCCCUUAUAGAACAUGUUGGCUUCAAGUCUUAUCUGUUGGAUGUUUAAAAGUCCAAAACAUUUGACCGUAGAAGGGAGUAAACAAUUUGGCUUUUCUGAGACUUCUCACAGUUUUAAAAACCUUUUCUGAGACCCAGGGUGGAGAAACGUGUCGCUCUGCCAAGGAGUUUCUAAUCCCUCCUCAGUUUGUCACAAUUACAACAUCAGCAUCGCUCACUAAAAGCUUUUCUCCUGCCAGCAGGAAGUUGAAACUGAAGUUUUACAAAAGGCAGAGCAUCAAGAUGUAAACGCUUUGCUCUGCAGCUGCCAAACAAGACCACAACACGGACCUCCUACGAACAGCACGGCCGACCCGGGACUGCCAGCUGUUCACCCAAACAGGGGCAGAUUUAGACCCUGCACCAACACAAUCAAGGUCAAAUCCAAAAAACUCAUCCAUUAUGUCUGUUCUUUGGGAACUGAAUUUAUUUGCGUUUUAUCCACAUUGAAAUAAAAAUUUUCUUCUUUAGAAAGUUUUGUGUAAUUUUAGGAUUAAUUUUAAAUUUUCUGGGGUUUUCCUCCGGCGUCUAGCCUCUGCAAAGUCCCCCUUAAUUUAAUUUUUUUCCGUUAUUCAUCAAGCUUCAAAUCAGGUUUAUGUCUGUUCAGUUCAGCUCCAUACGAACAACACAGUCAUAAAAAUGUUGACAUUAGUUAAAACAUGUAAAUGUUUUUUGCACCUGUAAAAAGGUGUUUUUUUAAUUUAUUUUGCUUUUGGGUCUAAAGAGAGAAGUGUGGCCACUGCAGCUCUGAUAUCAUUAGCUUUCACUUUAUUCAUAGUUGGUCACAGAAGCUUAUGUGUCCGUUCCCAGCUCUGUCUCUGUUCCAUCUCAGUAAUUAUGGCCACAUUCACACAACUCACACAUUUACAUUGUGUUUGUAAAUGUGAAGUUCACCUUUAUUUCAAUGGAUUUGUGUCUUGUGGCUUCUGUUCUCCUCAUAGUCUGUCUUUACUAUUUAGAAAUGGUUUUAAAUUAAUGUAUUCCUAAAAUUUGACCAUAAAAAUGGACCAGAUUGGCAUUUCAAACAGGCUAUUAGAUGCAUGAUUGCUGGUCAUUGCAUCCUUCACUCCUAACCCUUUCUAGAGGUGAGAUGCAGGGUCACUGAAGUGAUCUCCAUAUUUCAACAAAAAUCCAUCCAUUAAGCCAGUAAAUAUGCCAAACCACAAACAUGUUUAUGAUGAGCUUUUUAUUUAUAAGCUUAUUAAAUGCAGCCAAGUACAUUUAGCAGAAAAAAGUAUAACUACUAUUUCUUCUUUACAAAAAAUGACAAUGUAAAAAUACUAAUAUUGCAUUUCAGUACAAUUGAAGGUUUAUUCCUUCUAAUGUAAAUAACAGUUGUAGCUAUUACAAUCUACAAUAGUUUUGUUAUAUUGAUACAAAAAUCUGUCAAUCGAUGCUUUUUUAAGCAGCACUUUUGCAUUGAGCACAGAUCUGGAGUCAUAGUGGAUUUAUCUAAACAUGAUAAGAAAACAAUCUUAAAAAAGUUAAUUUUACUGAUCUAUACAUUAUUUAUAAAAAAAAAAAAAAGAGUGGAAACAGUUUGUGAAAUGAUGGGACGGACGGCACGAUGAAAGAGCUGUGCAACAUGGCGGCACAGGUUCUUGGAGGAGGAUUUCUGAGUAGGCUAUAAAUAAAAAGGACACGUGUGUGUGUGUGUGUGUGUGUGUGUGUGUGUGCUGCUUCACAGCUGAUAGUGAUUACACACUAAACAUGCAAGAUUAAAGAUGCUCCAUAGCAUAAACAUUUAAGAUCCACAGUUUUUCUAACAUUUACCUGUUAGUUUGCUUCCUCACAGACAAUGACACACACACACACAAGCGCGCACCCACACCCACACACACACACU